GAUGAACGCUGGCUACAGGCUUAACACAUGCAAGUCGUGGGGAAACGGCAUUAUGUGCUUGCACAUUCUGGACGUCGACCGGCGCACGGGUGAGUAUCGCGUAUCCAACCUGCCCCUUACUUGGGGAUACCCCGUUGAAAGACGGCCUAAUACCCGAUGUGUUUCAUUGACGGCAUCCGAUAUGAAACAAAGGUUUUCCGGUAAGGGAUGGGGAUGCGUCUGAUUAGCUUGUUGGCGGGGCAACGGCCCACCAAGGCGACGAUCAGUAGGGGUUCUGAGAGGAAGGUCCCCCACAUUGGAACUGAGACACGGUCCAAACUCCUACGGGAGGCAGCAGUGAGGAAUAUUGGUCAAUGGACGCAAGUCUGAACCAGCCAAGUAGCGUGCAGGAUGACGGCCCUAUGGGUUGUAAACUGCUUUUAUGUGGGAAUAAAUUGGCGCACGUGUGCGCCAUUGCAUGUACC
rnacentral:rRNA from 1 species